rnacentral:rRNA from 1 species
UAGGACUCUCGGCAAUGGAUAUCUUGGCUCUUGCAUCGAUGAAGAGCGCAGCGAAAUGCGAUACGUGGUGCGAAUUGCAGAAUCCCGUGAACCAUCGAGUUUUUGAACGCAAGUUGCGCCUGAGGCCAACUGGCCAAGGGCACGUCCGCCUGGGCGUCAUGC